AUGGGGGGCAGCAGGAUGGGCAGCGAGGGGCCGGACCUGUACGAGAACCUCCAGAUCCGCUACCCCCGUGCUCUGGAUUUGGGGGCACGGCCGCCCCGAUCCCGCCGGGUUUUGGGCACUCUGCUGGCCGUGGGCUUGGUGACCCUCCUGGCCCUGGGGGCUGCCCUGGCGGCCGUGGCCACCCUGCGCGCACGGGACCGCGCGGAGCUGCGGGUGGCACGGGCAGAGCUGGAGGUGCUGGGACCCCUGCCCAGCCCCGAGGGUGAGUGUGGCUGGUGGCAGGGGGGGCGCGGGCAGGGCUGUGCCAGGCUCCUGUCCCUGCUGUCCCCCCCCCAGGCACACGGAGCCCCGGUGACAGCCCCGAGGUGGCACAGAGGCGCAGGGACGCUUUGGGUAACGUGGAGAUGUGGGGACGUGGGGACAGACCCCAUGGGGUCGGGGCAGGGCUGUGCCCCCCGUGUGCCCCCCGUGCGCCCCCCGGCCC
rnacentral:lncRNA from 1 species